rnacentral:rRNA from 1 species
UACGAAGGGUGCGAGCGUUAUUCGGAAUCAUUGGGCGUAAAGGGUGCGUAGGCGGCAUAUUAAGUCAACUGUUUAAUUUCUCGGCUUAACUGAGAGUCAGCGGUAGAUACUGAUGUGCUAGAGUGUGGAAGAGAGGGAUGGAAUUCUCGGAGUAGCGGUAAAAUGCGUAGAUCUCGAGAGGAACACCAAUGGCGAAGGCAGUCCCUUGGUCCACUACUGACGCUGAGGCACGAAAGCGUGGGGAGCAAACAGG